rnacentral:lncRNA from 1 species
UUGGAAACGUAAUUUGCAAUUAUUAUCUAGAUUCAUGAAUUAUAAUUAUACAUGCAUUUGUCCAUUAAUGUACUAGAGGAGGAGAAACGUAUCUAUUCAAUGUUGGUUCAUGAGUUAGGCUAGAUAAAUGUUAAAUCUUAUCUAUAAAUACCCAUGUAACUCAAGCCAUUAAAAGUAUCGAAGUCACAAAAAUUUACAAUAUAAUAUCUUCUCUUCUACAGUCAUAAAAAAGUGCAGCAGCACUAUAUUACGUAUAAUUUCGAGCAUUCGAUAUUCCUUCUUUUUCAUUCGGUUUUUAAUCAAUCCCCA